AGACAUCCGUGGCACCCAAUAAACGGAUCUGGGCAUUUUUUUCAAAUACGAGAAAAUGAACGUUUGGUUCCCAGACCACGUCUCAUUGAGAAGUGGUGGCGCUAGCCAGGCUACCCUGUCAGUUUACUUCCUCUUUUAAUGCUCUUUAUUCUCUUGUUUAUUACCUGAUGAAUACUACACCCUAACCUUAUAUAGAACCUUAUAACACAUAUAAAAAUGUAUACAUUUUGUUUUGAGAGAGAUACAUAUAUUAAGUCAUAAAAUCAGUAGAUGUAUAUCAUUAGAUCUACAUUAUCAUGAACUACAUGUUUCAUGUAAUGUGUUCAUUCAUG